rnacentral:lncRNA from 1 species
AGCAACUCCUGUCAUGUUGUUCCCACUGCAGGAGGCAGGGCAGACCAGCUGGAAAGGAGAUACUGCCUUUGCCCCUCAGCAUCUGCCCACCUCAAGUGUGGGCAGGAACCCUGAUUACAAGUGAUGUGUCACUCUUGGGACUUUACCUUUGUCAAGCCCAAUUCUGCUAAUGCUGCAGGGUUGCUGCUUCAGCUCCAUUGAGGUGAGGGAAAGCGCUUGGCCAGAGCAGGGUAGCUGAGUGCCUGGCAUGCUCUGCCACAGACACUGCUACCAGAAUUUGUAAGAAAACAAUUGCUUUAAUCAAAACAAUCCCAUCCCCCUGUACAGGUAGAAAAGCCAAGCCCUGCAGAAACAGAGUUAGGAGACAGUGUCACAGCUGUUCCCAACCAAAGGAAGAUCCAAAACGACAAUGGGGAAAGGUAGGAGGAACAGAGAGAUACUAUGGACCAGAGAGGGAUAAGUAUCUGCUAGUUCCCCUAAAGGUGGGGAUGCUGGAGCAGGGCGUGCUGUGCUUCUGUACAGCUGGUCUGGUGCUGCCAAGGCUUUCGCAGGCUGGUGGGAUGGUGACAUGAUCAUGAGGCUGCUCAGGAUGGCUGGAAGUCAUCUUUCUCAAGAACCAGUGAUGGAGUCUGCUGAGUCUCUGCAGUGCAGGUCAUGGAUCAUGCCACCAAAUCGACAGGGAGGACACAGUGCAGGGGCACAGAGGGACAACUUGUUGUGGCAUGAGUCCUGGUGCGGUGUUUUGUCCCUGCUGUUCCUGCCCAGGCUCUUGGGCAGCUGACAAAGCAGUGCCUCUCUGCCCAGUAGUCAGCCACAAGGGAGCACACAGGAGGGCAUCCUAAGUGGUCUUUCGCUUCUUGGCUGAGGGUCUCUCAAAGACAUCCCUCACGCCUGCUGCUUUCUGCUUGAAGAAUUUAGUGUUCUGUGCGCUUUCUUGGCCCCAGGCAGAGUCAAAUGAGGUGGUAUCCUGGUCUACCAAGUGCGUGUACUUUGUCCGUCCUGAGCGCCCAAAGUUCUUGACCUGCAUGACUUUGGGCAGGAUAGUUUUGUUGAAGUGAUCCUCAAGGGUAGGGGCGCUGAAGUCCCGCUUGUACACCUCCUCAUCUUCAUCCAUGAAGAAGGCACCACGGUGGUAGUACUUCUGCAGGAACUUGUAUUUGCCCUUCACUGCCUUGUUGGUGAUGACCUUGCCAUUGGCUCGCAGCUCAGCACGGCGCUCUUCCUCUGUCAGGUUCCGCAUCCGCUCGAUCUCUGCCUUCUCCUUCUCCAUGGCUUCUCGUUCUUCACGAUCCCGUUUGAUGCGCUUCAGCUCACGUACUUUCCAAGCCUCAUACUCCUCCUCAUCAUUCUCAUCAUCUGUAUCAAGAGCAUCAAGUGCUGCCAACGAGCGCUUAUUCUCCUCCAGCUCCUUCUUCGCUUCCUCUUCCACGAUCUUGAGUGUGUACUUGCGCCUCUCUUCUGCUAAUCUCUUUGCCUCCUGUUCUAGCUCCUUCUGCUUCAAGGCUUCUGCUUCUCGCUCCUGAACUGUGAUCCGGUCUUUCUUGCGGAUGAAGACAGGUUUGAGACGUGGCUCCAUUUCAUCCUCACUGUCUGUGUACUCCUCAUACUCAGACUCUGACUCAGACUCUUCUCCAGAUCUGCCCUCAUCUUCCAGCUCCAUCACUUCUAGCUCCUCAGUUUUCCUCUCCUGCGCUCUCUGACGCAUCAUCCCACGCCGACGCUCAAUCUCCUCAUCGUCAAUCUCUUCCUCCUCCUCCUCACUGGUGUCCUCUCGCUCCACACGCCAUGCUUCACCUUCUACCUCAGAAUCGCUCUCUCCAACCACUUCAGGCUCCACAAUUUUGCGGUGCCUUGCCAGCCGCUCCUCCACGUCCUCAGUGAUGCGGUUCUGCAGUCGCCGCAGCCGAGGGUCGUUGGCGACCUCCUCCUCCUGCUCUUCGGGCUCCACCUCCUGCUCCUUCGCCUUCUUGAUGAACUGGAACUCCUCGUCCUCCUCCUCCGAGGACUCCAUGGGCGCGUAGUCGGGCCGCU